rnacentral:piRNA from 1 species
UUCNCUGGAUACAUUGGUGCCCUUACACUG